GACGAACGCUGGCGGCGUGCCUAAUACAUGCAAGUAGAACGCUGAAGGAGGAGCUUGCUCUUCUGGAUGAGUUGCGAACGGGUGAGUAACGCGUAGGUAACCUGCCUGGUAGCGGGGGAUAACUAUUGGAAACGAUAGCUAAUACCGCAUAACAGUAGAUGUUGCAUGACAUUUGCUUAAAAGGUGCAAUUGCACCACUACCAGAUGGACCUGCGUUGUAUUAGCUAGUUGGUGGGGUAACGGCUCACCAAGGCGACGAUACAUAGCCGACCUGAGAGGGGGGUCGGCCACACUGGGACUGAGACACGCCCCAGACUCCUACGGGAGGCAGCAGUAGGGAAUCUUCGGCAAUGGACGGAAGUCUGACCGAGCAACGCCGCGUGAGUGAAGAAGGUUUUCGGAUCGUAAAGCUCUGUUGUAAGAGAAGAACGAGUGUGAGAGUGGAAAGUUCACACUGUGACGGUAUCUUACCAGAAAGGGACGGCUAACUACGUG
rnacentral:rRNA from 1 species